rnacentral:rRNA from 1 species
AGCAGCCGCGGUAAUUCCAGCUCCAAUAGCGUAUAUUAAAGUUGUUGCAGUUAAAAAGCUCGUAGUUGAAUUUCGGGGUUAGUAGGUUGGUCGUGCCACUGGUACGUACUGGUCUCACUGACUCCUCCUUCCUGAUGAACUGUAAUGCCAUUAAUUUGGUGUUGCGGGGAAACUGGACUGUUACUUUGAAAAAUUAGAGUGUUUAAAGCAGGCUAACGCUUGAAUACAUUAGCAUGGAAUAAUGAAAUAGGACGUUUGAUCCUAUUUGUUGGUUUCUAGGAUUGACGUAAUGAUUAAUAGGGAUAGUUGGGGCAUUAGUAUUCAAUUGUCAGAGUGAAAUUCUUGGAUUUAUUGAAGACUAACUACUGCGAAAGCAUUUGCAAGGAUGUUUCAUUAAUCAAGAACGAAAGUUAGGGAUCGAAGACGAUCAGAUACCGU